rnacentral:rRNA from 1 species
GAUGAACGCUGGCGGCGUGCCUAAUACAUGCAAGUCGAGCGAACAGACGAGGAGCUUGCUCCUCUGACGUUAGCGGCGGACGGGUGAGUAACACGUGGAUAACCUACCUAUAAGACUGGGAUAACUUCGGGAAACCGGAGCUAAUACCGGAUAAUAUAUUGAACCGCAUGGUUCAAUAGUGAAAUACGGUUUUGCUGUCACUUAUAGAUGGAUCCGCGCCGCAGUAGCUAGUUGGUAAGGUAACGGCUUACCAAGGCAACGAUGCGUAGCCGACCUGAGAGGGUGAUCGGCCACACUGGCACUGAGACACGGUCCCGACUCCUGCGGGAGGCAGCAGUAGGGAAUCUUCCGCAAUGGGCGAAAGCCUGACGGAGCAACGCCGCGUGAGUGAUGAAGGUCUUCGGAUCGUAAAACUCUGUUAUUAGGGAAGAACAAAUGUGUAAGUAACUAUGCACGUCUUGACGGUACCUAAUCAGAAAGCCACGGCUAACUACGUG